UGGGGAAUAUUGCACAAUGGGGGAAACCCUGAUGCAGCAACGCCGCGUGAGUGAUGACGGCCUUCGGGUUGUAAAGCUCUGUCUUUGGGGACGAUAAUGACGGUACCCAAGGAGGAAGCCACGGCUAACUACGUGCCAGCAGCCGCGGUAAUACGUAGGUGGCAAGCGUUGUCCGGAUUUACUGGGCGUAAAGGGAGCGUAGGCGGAUUUUUAAGUGGGAUGUGAAAUACCCGGGCUCAACCUGGGUGCUGCAUUCCAAACUGGAAAUCUAGAGUGCAGGAGGGGAAAGUGGAAUUCCUAGUGUAGCGGUGAAAUGCGUAGAGAUUAGGAAGAACACCAGUGGCGAAGGCGACUUUCUGGACUGUAACUGACGCUGAGGCUCGAAAGCGUGGGGAGCAAACAGG
rnacentral:rRNA from 1 species